rnacentral:tRNA from 1 species
GAGGGUGUAGCUCAGUGGUAGAGCAUGUGCUUAGCAUGCACGAGGUCCUGGAUUCAAUCCCCAGUAUCUCCG